CCUACGGGAGGCAGCAGUGAGGAAUAUUGGUCAAUGGCCGGAAGGCUGAACCAGCCAUGCCGCGUGAAGGUCAGUGCCCUAUGGGCGUUAAACUUCUUUUGUGCGGGAGCAAUAAUGGUCACGUGUGGCCAGACGGGAGUACCGUACGAAUAAGCAUCGGCUAACACCGUUCCAGCAGCCGCGGUAAUACGGGGGGGUAAGCGUUUUCCGGGUUUUUUGGGGUUUAAGGGGGUGUUGGCUGGGGGGGAAGUCAGCGGUGGAAUGCCCCCGCGCAAAGGGGUGAAGUGCCAUUGAUACUGGCUGGCUGGAAUGCGGAUGCGGUAGGAGGAAUGUGUGGUGUAGCGGUGAAAUGCAUAGAUAUCACACAGAACACCGAUUGCGAAGGCAUCUCACGAAUCCGCGAUUGACGCUGAUGCACGAAAGCGUGGGUAUCAAACAGGAUUAGAUACCCGAGUAGUC
rnacentral:rRNA from 1 species